ACUUCGUCAAUCCUAAAACCCUCAAUUUGGCUCACUUCACUCAUAAACCCUAAAUUGCAAUGUCUCUCCGCCUCGCUCUCCGUCGUUCCCGCCACCUCUCAACCGCCGCCGCCGCCGAAGCCGAGACCGCCGCCGCCAAAAUUGUAAACAUUUCCGGAGCUAAGAAGCGCCUCCGGAAGGUAUACGAUCCCGACGAGGCGCUCAAAGUCUACUCCUCCUUCUCCGCCGCCGAUGACGCCUCCGCGCCGCCGGCCUCCGCUCGCCACAUCCAGGAGCUGGCGGUCCGCCGCCUCGUCAAAUCCCGCCGCUUCUCCGACAUCGAGGCCUUCCUCGAAUCGAACAAAUCCAAGCCCCAAAUCACCGAGGAGCCAUUCGUCUCCUCUCUCAUCAAAUCCUACGGCGUCGCCGGAAUGAUCGAUAAUGCGGUCGCUACCUAUAAUCAGAUGACCGAUUUCGGUACCCCUCGCUCGACUCUAUCCUUCAAUGCUCUCCUCUUAGCUUGUAUUAACUCCAAGGCUUAUGAUCGCGUGCCUAUUUAUUUCAAUGAAUUUUCGGAAAAAUUUGGUUUAGUGCCGGAUAAAUUCUCGUAUGGAAUGUUGAUCAAGGCGCUUUGUGAGAUGGAAUCGCCGGAGAUGGCGAAGGAGACGCUGAAUGAAAUGGAGAAGAAGGGGGUUGAGGUUGGGGCAGUGUCGUUUAGCACGAUUUUACACGCAUUGUAUAAGAUUGGGAGGGUUGACGAGGCCGAAGCGUUUUGGGAUGAAAUGGUGAAAGAGAAGGGGAUCAAAUUGGAUGCAGGGUCUUACAAUGUGAGGCUUUCGCAUAUUCAUGAUAAUCCGGAAUCGAUGAAAGCUUUAAUCGAGGAAAUGCAGAAUGAGGGGAUAAAUCCUGAUCCGAUUAGCUACAACUAUUUGAUCACUUCCUACUGUGUGAAUGGGAUGAUGAAUGAAGCGGAGAAGGUAUAUGCCGAUCUGUUGCAGGCGAAAGGAGUACGGCCGAACGCUGCCACUUAUAGGACUAUGGUGUUCCAUUCGUGUAAGGCAGGAAGGUACGUGAAAGCAUAUAGGAUCUUCAAGCAGAGUGUGAGGGUGGGCAAGAUUCCCGAUUUCAACACAUUGAAGUAUUUGGUAAAGGGUUUAACUGAAAAGGGGCGUAUGGUUGAGGCUAAAGCUAUGGUUCGGACUAUGAACAAGAAGUUCCCUCUGGAAUUAUUGAAGGCUUGGGAGAAGCUUGCUGAUGAGCUUGGGUUGACUCGUGAUGGCACAGAGGAGGCUGGCGCUAGCAAGGUAGAAAAGGCGGAGGUUGACGCCAGCAAGGUGGAAAAGGAGGGAGCUGAUUCUGGUGUUGAAUCAGAGAAGGCAAGUGCAUGAGUUUGGUCUAUGGAAUAAGUUUGAGUCAUACUCUUUAGACCUGCCUCUGGUUGUGAGAUGAUUGAAGAAGAAGACUAAGAAUUGAGAAAACGAGCAGUUGGAGUGAAGUGCCGAGUCGAAGCCAUCGGAAUGACAACCUACGCAAAGGGUGGCCGUUUUUUUUCCAAAACGGGGACGAGUAAGGAGACGACAUGGUUGCAGUAAGAAUAGAAUUUGAAGAUAAAGGCUCGGUAAUCCUAGGUAGGUAUGGGAUAAACGGAAGAAGAUACAGAAACUUGGGAAUUCAGUCUCUAAGUGGGAGAUUAUUGAAGUAUGAAAAGUUAGAAUGAACUGCACCCAAGAGCCCUAACCCGGUGAUCUAUGAGACGUUUAAUCUAGCGAUAUAGAAUGGUUAAUGUAUGAGAUCAAAGUACGCAUGUUCGAAUUCAUGUGACACACUUUCAGA